CAUCCUCCACUCGGGCCCCUUCUUCGGCUACUACUUCUUCAACGGGCUCCUGGCGCUGCUGCAGGGGCUGCACGUGUUCUGGUCGGGCCUCAUCCUGCGCAUGCUCUACAGCUUCAUGAAGAAGGGCCAGAUGGAGAAGGACGUCCGCAGUGACGUGGAAGAGGCAGACUCCAGCGAGGAAGAGGAGGCAGCCCAGGCACCUCGGCAGCUGAGGAACGGGGCAGCCCCCACCGACGGCCCUCGGAGCCGGGCAGCGGGGCGGCUGGCCAAUGGGCACACGCCGGCCACAUAGCCAGCCAGGGACUGUCCGCCAGGGGUGGCCGGACAGGUGGCGCCGGGGCCACUGCCGCGGAGACAGGGAGGGCCCCAACCCGGGGUGGGCUGAUGAUCUGUCUUCCGCCCCUCAUCUCGCCCACCCCCGUUUCCCUCUGCGCAACUGGACUGAGCCGGCCUGCAGCCUGGGGGGCGUGGGAGCCCCAGGUGGCAGGGGUCCAAUAAAACUUGAACGGAGCCGAA